GAUUGGGCCGAUCUCUCGUCCCACCUCACUCUGAGGUAACUCGCUCUCUGAUUGGGCCGACUUCCCGUCCCACCUCUCUCUGAGGCAACUCGCUCUCUGACUGGUCCGAGCUCCCGUCCUUCCUACCCUGCCCUGUGGCAACUCGCUCUCUGAUUGGUCCGAGCUUCCGUCCGUCCUAUCCUUCCCUGUGGCCUCUCUCUCUCUGAUUCGUCCGAACUCCCGUCCGUCCUCUCCUGCCCUGUGGCAACUCGAUCUCUGAUUGGGCCGAGCUUCCGUCCGUCCUAUCCUUCCCUGUGGCAACUCGCUCUCUGAUUGGUCCGAACUCCCGUCCGUCCUCUCCUGCCCUGUGGGAACUCGCUCUCUGAUUGGGCCGAUCUCUCGUCCCACCUCACUCUGAGGUAACUCGCUCUCUGAUUGGGCCGACUUCCCGUCCCACCUCUCUCUGAGGCAACUCGCUCUCUGACUGGUCCGAGCUCCCGUCCUUCCUACCCUGCCCUGUGGCAACUCGCUCUCUGAUUGGUCCGAGCUUCCGUCCGUCCUAUCCUUCCCUGUGGCCUCUCUCUCUCUGAUUCGUCCGAACUCCCGUCCGUCCUCUCCUGCCCUGUGGCAACUCGAUCUCUGAUUGGGCCGAGGUCCCGUCCCACCUCUCUCUGAGGUAACUCGCUCUCUGAUUGGCCCGAGCUUCCGUCCGUCCUAUCCUUCCCUGUGGCCUCUCUCUCUCUGAUUCGUCCGAACUCCCGUCCGUCCUCUCCUGCCCUGUGGCAACUCGCUCUCUGAUUGGGCCGAGCUUCCGUCCGUCCUAUCCUUCCCUGUGGCAACUCGCUCUCUGAUUGGUCCGAACUCCCGUCCGUCCUCUCCUGCCCUGUGGGAACUCGCUCUCUGAUUGGGCCGAUCUCUCGUCCCAGCUCUCUCUGAGGUAACUCGCGCUCUGAUUGGUCCGAGCUCCCGUCCGUCCUAUCCUGCUGUGUGGCAACUCGCUCUCUGAUUGGACCGAUCUCCUGUCCCACCUCUCUCUGAGGCAACUCGUUCUCUGAUUGGCCCGAGCUCCUGUCCGUCUUCUCCUGCCCUGUGGCAACUCGCUCUCUGAUUGGGCCGAUCUCUCGUCCCACCUCUCUCUGAGGUAACUCGCGCUCUGAUUGGUCCGAGCUCCCGUCCGUCCUAUCCUGCUGUGUGGCAACUCGCUCUCUGAUUGGACCGAUCUCCUGUCCCACCUCUCUCUGAGGCAACUCGCUCUCUGAUUAGUCCGA
rnacentral:lncRNA from 1 species